GUAGGCAAGAGGAACAACAUCAACUCAUGAGGCAUUCCAAAAGGCUGGCCAUGCAGGGAAGGUCCCUGGAAAGACCCACCCUAAGGUUUGAUCCGGAUUCACGCUGAAUCAACUGCAUUAGUGGAUGUGGCUUUCCCCAGCCAUUCUUACCCAUGACAGCCCCUCCUGUUCCCCUGAAAAUGCUUCACAGAGAAGUCAGGAGACCCUGCUGAAUCAGCCCACAAGAUUUUAUCAUGGGUGUUAACGGAUGAGAGAAGAAUCCAAGCCACAAAACCUGGCUCUUUUCAAGAGUUUGAAAUAUGGCAUUUUAUUGCAUUUGGGUCUGAUUCAUUCUAAAGUUCGGUCCACUUAAGAGGAUUAUGGUGGACUUAGCCUUGCAUCUCAUUUUCAGUAACACCUUGGACAAGAAACCACUCCAGAGUAUCAAGUAGAGCAAAAUGCCUUCUCUCUUCCGAACCUGCACAGACUCUGUGGUCAACAGAUGAGAUGCUUCUAGUGAUUCUGCCUGGACCUACAGCUUGGUUGGAAUCCACCCAGAGCAGAGACUUCAGUGUGGUGGCUCCCUCCCUGCAGAACUCCCUGCCUCUGGAUGUCAGACAGACACCAAUGCUGUUCUGCUUCUGGCAGUUGCUGAAGAAAUUUUUAUUUCAACAAGGCUUCCCUGAUUAACCAGCCACAGUUU